UAUGUGAUCGUCUCUCGCAUAUCAAUAAGCGGAGGAAAAGAAACUAACAAGGAUUCCCCUAGUAACGGCGAGUGAAGCGGGAAGAGCUCAAAUUUGAAAUCUUAAAGGGUUUCCCUUUACGAAUUGUAGUUUAAAGAAGUGUUUUCUGUUGAGGUUUUGGUAAAAGUUCUUUGGAAUAGGACAUCAUAGAGGGUGAGAAUCCCGUAUUUGACCUUUACUUUCAACUUUGUGAUACACUUUCAAAGAGUCGGAUUGUUUGGGAAUGCAGUCCAAAAUGGGUGGUAAAUUUCAUCUAAAGCUAAAUAUUGGCGAGAGACCGAUAGCGAACAAGUACCGUGAGGGAAAGAUGAAAAGAACUUUGAAAAGAGAGUUAAACAGUACGUGAAAUUGUCGAAAGGGAAGCGUUUGACACCAGUGUUGUUUUUCUGAAAAUCAAUUAAAGAACUGUUUAUGCUAAGUUGUUUAGACUUUAUCAGCUAACUGUUUAGUUUUGAGCUUUUCUUUAAUGCACUUUUCAGUUAACAAGUCAACAUCAAUUUCUUUUGCUGUAAAAAAGCAUUGAGGAAGGUGGCUUGAGAUUCGUCUUAAGUGUUUAUAGCCUCUUGCCUAUGCAGUCGGAGAGAUUGAGGUCUGCAGCGUAGAUCCUUCGGGGCUAAAUGCAUUUGUGCUAAGUUAUAGCAUUUUAUAGACAACUUGUUGACUAUGAUUUGUCUUGUAGCUUACUCGCUUAUGUUAUUUUACCUACGCUUAGGAUGUUGACACACGCGCGUGCUCG
rnacentral:rRNA from 1 species